CCUACGGGGGGCAGCAGUGAGGAAUAUUGGUCAAUGGCCGUAAGGCUGAACCAGCCAAGUCGCGUGAAGGAAGAAGGAUCUAUGGUUUGUAAACUUCUUUUAUAGGGGAAUAAAGGUAUCCACGUGUGGAUAUUUGCAUGUACCCUAUGUAUCAGCAUCGGCUAACUCCGUGCCAGCCGCCGCGGUAAUACGGAGGAUGCGAGCGUUAUCUGGAUUUAUUGGGUUUAAAGGGUUCGUAGGUUGUUUUUUAAGUCAGCGGUGAAAGGUUGUGGCUCAACCAUAAAAUUGCCGUUGAAACUGGAAGACUUAGUGUGUUUGAGGUAGGCGGAAUGCGUGGUGUAGCGGUGAAAUGCAUAGAUAUCACGCAGAACUCCGAUUGCGAAGGCAGCUUACUAAGCCAUAACUGACACUGAAGCACGAAAGCGUGGGGAUCAAACAGGAUUAGAUACCCGAGUAGUC
rnacentral:rRNA from 1 species